GAGUUUGAUCCUGGCUCAGGACGAACGCUGGCGGCGUGCCUAAUACAUGCAAGUCGAACGCACGAAGUUGAAGAGCUUGCUCUUUGACCAAGUGAGUGGCGGACGGGUGAGUAACACGUGGGUAACCUGCCCAUUAGAGGGGGAUAACAUUCGGAAACGGAUGCUAAUACCGCAUAGUUUCAGGAAUCGCAUGAUUCUUGAAGGAAAGGUGGCUUCGGCUACCACUAAUGGAUGGACCCGCGGCGUAUUAGCUAGUUGGUGAGGUAACGGCUCACCAAGGCAAUGAUACGUAGCCGACCUGAGAGGGUGAUCGGCCACACUGGGACUGAGACACGGCCCAGACUCCUACGGGAGGCAGCAGUAGGGAAUCUUCGGCAAUGGACGAAAGUCUGACCGAGCAACGCCGCGUGAGUGAAGAAGGUUUUCGGAUCGUAAAACUCUGUUGUUAGAGAAGAACGUUGUGUAGAGUGGAAAAUUACACAAGUGACGGUAUCUAACCAGAAAGGGACGGCUAACUACGUGCCAGCAGCCGCGGUAAUACGUAGGUCCCGAGCGUUGUCCGGAUUUAUUGGGCGUAAAGCGAGCGCAGGUGGUUUAAUAAGUCUGAUGUAAAAGGCAGUGGCUCAACCAUUGUGUGCAUUGGAAACUGUUAGACUUGAGUGCAGUAGAGGAGAGUGGAAUUCCAUGUGUAGCGGUGAAAUGCGUAGAUAUAUGGAGGAACACCGGUGGCGAAAGCGGCUCUCUGGACUGUAACUGACACUGAGGCUCGAAAGCGUGGGUAGCAAACAGGAUUAGAUAC
rnacentral:rRNA from 1 species